rnacentral:rRNA from 1 species
UACAGAGGGUGCGAGCGUUGUCCGGAAUCACUGGGCGUAAAGGGCGCGUAGGUGGUGGCUUAAGCGUGCGGUGAAAGCUCGGGGCUCAACUCCGAGUCGGCCGUGCGAACUGGGCUCACUGGAGCAUAGUAGAGGCAGGUGGAAUUCCGGGUGUAGCGGUGAAAUGCGUAGAGAUCAGCAGGAAUACCCGUGGCGAAGGCGGCCCCCUGGGCCGUACCUGACGCUGAGGCGCGAAGGCUAGGGGAGCGAACGGG